AGGUUGGACAGCCGCGGCCGGAACCCGAAAGGGUCCGGGUGAGGAAAGUCCGGGCUUCACAGGGCAAGGAUAACGGGUAACGCCCGCCGGGGGUGACCCCAGGACAAGUGCAACAGAGAUAUACCGCCCUCCUUAAGAGGGUAAGGGUGAAAAGGUGCGGUAAGAGCGCACCCUGCCCAUGGAGACAUGGGUUUUAAGAUGUAAACUCUAUCCGAAGCAACACCGUGUGUGGGACUUAAGGCUUGCCCGGCCGUCCCCAAGAGGUGGCUGGAUCCCGGGAGCAAUUCCGGGACUAGAUAGAUGGCUGUCAAAACAGAACCCGGCUUACAGACCUGAUCC
rnacentral:RNase_P_RNA from 1 species